rnacentral:rRNA from 1 species
GUGUCAGCCGCCGCGGUAAUACGGAGGGGGCUAGCGUUGUUCGGAAUUACUGGGCGUAAAGCGCGCGUAGGCGGAUUGGUCAGUUGGGGGUGAAAUCCCGAGGCUCAACCUCGGAACUGCCCUCAAUACUGCCAGUCUUGAGUCCGGGAGAGGUGAGUGGAAUUCCUAGUGUAGAGGUGAAAUUCGUAGAUAUUAGGAAGAACACCAGUGGCGAAGGCGGCUCACUGGCCCGGUACUGACGCUGAGGCGCGAAAGCGUGGGGAGCAAACAGGAUUAGAUACCCCGGUAGUCC